UCAUUCCAUUCACAUUCAGAGUUAUGAUUUCUAGCUGUGUAUUUCCCAGCAUUUUGAUUUCUACUACUGGCCCUGUCUUUUGUUUUUCACUAUUUCUAUCUACACCAAUGUUUGUUUUUGAUCAAUCCCCUACUUCCCACCCUUAUUUUACUUCCCUUUCUACCCCUCCCUUCUUAUUCACACUGUAUUUUCCCUGUAGGGUUCCUAAAAUUACCCCCACCCUCUCCCUCCCUUGUACUGCUUCCCUCCCCACCAGUCCAUUUGUUACCUUUUACUCUCCUAUAGAGUGCAAAUCUAUUCUCUGCCCCAAUGGAUUGGAUUGUUCUUCCCUCUUUGGGUAAAUUUCAAAUUAUGUAAGAGUUGAAAAUUUCCCAUCUCUGACCUCUUUACCCUUCCCGUGUAUUGAUGUUCUUCCCCCUCCCACCAUGAGCUUCUUUGUGACAUAUAAAUUUACCCCUAUUAGUUUCUUUUCCCAUUUAUUUUACUAUUAAGCUCUCUUUUUUAGCUCUAGUUAUGUAUAUAUAUGCAUAUAUAUACACACACAUGUAUAUGUAUUUGUGCACACAUAUAUCUAUAUAGCUAUCUGUGUCUUGCUAUUUCAUCCUAUACAGUUUGUCACUGUUCCCCCUAAGUGUAAUUCUUCUAGCUAUCCAGGUGAUAACAACAGUAUUUUAGUUACCAAUGACUUUUCUUAUAGGGAUACAUAUCAUUUUAACUUACUGAGUCUCUUAAAAUUUUUUUUGUGUUGUUUUGUUUUGUUUUUCUUCCCCCCCCUUUUAAAAAAAUUACCUUUUGAUGAUUCUCUUGAGUUCUGUGCUUGGACAUCAAAUUUUCUGUUUAGGUCUGGUCUUUUCUUUACAAAUUCUUGGAAUUCUUCUAUUUUGUUGAAUGACCAUACAUUCCCCUGCAAGAAUGUAGUCAGAUUUGCUGGGUAGUUGAUUCUUGGUUGUAGACCUAGUCCCCUUGCUUUCUGGAAUAUCAUAUUCCAUGCCUUUCAGUCCUUCAGUGUGGAUACAGCCAGAUCCUGUGUUAUCCUCACUGUGGUUCCAUGGUAUCUGAAUGACUUCUUCUUGGCAGCUUGUAAUAUCUUUUCUUUGGUCUGAUAGUUCUUGAAUAUGGCUAUAACACUCCUGGGUGUUGUCAGUUGGGGAUUAAGUACUGGGGGUGAUCUGUGGAUUCUUUCAAUCUCCACUUUUCCCCUGUAGUAUUAUGUCCAGGCUUUUUCUUUUGUCAUGGUCUUCUGGUAGACUAAUGAUUCUUAAAUCAUCUCUCCUAGAACGAUUUUCUAAAUCCUCUGCUUAGUGAAUGAGAAGCUUUAUAUUUUCCUCAAUUUUAAAAUUCUUUUUGUUUUUUUUUAUAGUGUCCUGUUGCCUUGUGAGGUCACUUAAUUCCAAUUGUUUUAUUCUGGUUCUUAAAGACUGGAUUUCAUCCCUGUCUUUUUGGUCGUCCUUUUCCUUCUGGUCUGAUUUUCUUUGGAGGUCAUCUUUCAUCCUCUUUACCUCAUCUUUCAUCUCUUUUGUCUCAUCUUUCAUCUUCUUUGCCUCAUCUUUCAUCUCUUUUGCCUCAUUUUCCAGCUGGUCGAUUUUGGCUUUCAAGACACUAGUUUCUGUUUCCAAAUACUUAGCUUAGUUUUUAAGUUCUUUUCCCCAUUGUCUUCAGCCUCUCUUUAUUGUAUUUUGAAUUGCAUUUUGAGUUCCUCCACAGCCUAUAUCCAAUUCGCUGGGCUUUCUGGUUUAUUGUUUGCUCAUCCCUCCCCCUCUGUUCCAUUGGCUGUGGUGAAGCUGUCUACUGUAAUUUCUUUCUUCUUUUUCUGUUGUUUGCUCAUAUUUGCCCCUUCUUUGCUCCCCAUACUUGUCUGUGGUCUUGCUCCUCUCAUUUUUUUCCUUCGAUUUUGUGGUUUUCUGUCAUUCUCCACUCUUGGAGCUUUGUCAGAUCUCUCAGUGCAGUCUCUGGGGAGGAAUUUGAGCUUCCCUGUCCUCUGGAGGCUUUUGAUGGGAUUAAGUUCAGAUGGGUUGGACUGUAUGUGCUCUGAGGCCAAAACCUCCUGGAAGGCUGGAGGCAAAUGUAAGGUCUCAGACUCCCAGGCUCUCUCCAGUUCUCUCCAGCUGCUUCCCUGCUGCCUGUGUUCCACACUCUGAGCCUGGCACAGCCUUGCUCACAAGUGUGACACUUCGGUAUAGAGGCAGUAUGGAGUGGUGUUUGCUUCCAUGUUGCUGUGGAGAAAGGAUACCAGAAGUCCAUGGAAGAAAACCAAAGUCCCCAAGCAUUUCCAAAGAAAGCCAUCCCAGAGAAAAGAGAAAGCAGAUGUCUGUACAGCACCAACCACAGCACAACACAGAGGCCAGACACCAGAAAAAACAGCAGAUGAACAAACAAGGUGAAACCACUGACUUGGGGACAGUGAACUGGCCACACAGAUGAACUUUUACUGAGAGGCAGUUUAUCUACAGAAGAAUAGCAUUAAUUUGUGACAUUCUUUUCUAAAUGUAUAUGGGUAUUUAUUGUAAGAUCAAUUCUUAUCAUGUACCUGAAUACUUCAAAUGGUAUUUGUACAAAAUGUAACUUGCAAUUAUUUUAUUGGAAUUGUUCCAUGUUACCCAAAUUUGAUCAAAAACAAAUUGUAGAAUUGGGAAUGUUAUAACAGUUCAUUGGAUACUGUUCAAUUGCAACAGAAAUUGUUCAUAUUAUCCAAAAUGUAUGUAUGAUAAUUGUCUUAAUCAGUUCAUUUUUCUAUUUGCAAAAAAAAAAAAAGGAUAGGUCUUCAUUAGAAUCACACUUACUUAAAAACCAAUUUGCAUUCAAGCUUUUAAAUGUAAAGGGGAUGUAAUGGUACUCCUAACCAUCAGUCACUUCUCCAUCCCAGAAGGGCUAUAGGCUACUCCUAUGCAAUAACAUUUUAAGUGUAAUGAUAAAGAUUACACUGUAGAGUAGCCCUGGAUUUGGUUGAAUAUUACCAGGAGAUACAGACUAUAGGGGACCCAACAGGAUGAUAACAUCGGGUCGAGGGUUUGCUUGUAUUUCUACAAAUAACGGAAACAUCUGGACACCCACCAAGCACAUCACGCCAUGCAGCUCAGGACCAGGAAGAGAAGCAGACGAACAAUGCAGAUGACAUCGAUCACCAGCAGACAUGCUCCCUGGGGACUACACACAUGUCAAAGACUGUCAUUACACCUCUCUUGAUUAUAUUCACCAUCAUUGCCCUGAUGGACACUUGUCAUGCUGAAAUCUAUUGGUCUAUUACACCUAAACCCCAAUAUUAAGAAUGUUAACUUGGAUGGACAAGCCCCCACUUGUGUAUGUUCCUGACACCAAAUGGCUGCCAUACUCAAUGUUAGCCAGAGGCAUUGCCAUGCACUCAGAAGGGACUGGCUACAAUUAUUCAGACCCUACUGUAUACCCUUCAUUUUGUAUGUCUACGCCAUGUACUGACAGAAAGAAUUCAUUUUGUAGACCUGGUAAAAUUCAAACUUGGGCUACUGAUAACAAGUAUAUGGGCAUCGGUAUGGCUCUCCUGGGAACAGGGGCUAGAAUUGAUCCACCACAACAGAGACGGAGUAGCCCUGACAACAGAAAAUUGUGUUUGAAUCGGGUAGAGUCACUGCACAGGGAUUUAUCAUGGGCAGACAGAUGGUCCUGGUCAAACUCCUAGAGAGGUGGAGAUGUCAGGUAGAAUAGACUUGGAGAUUCUUACAUGGGGACCUCAAUCACUUAAACUGUCAUCUACAUCCAUGUAUAGAUUCUGUUCAUGACAAAACCUAGAUUGCUGUUAAGUACCAACCACCAUUGGUGUGGUUACCUGUGAAUCUUACCGACACGGGCAUCUACUCCAACUGUCCAUUUGGUCCACAGAGCAUUUCCCAUCAUCGUGCAUCACUCCAGAUGCUUUAUAUUGAUUCAAUUAUUGCUACAAUUGUGUUCACUGACUACAAAACCAAGGUUUUAUACGAGAGGUUGUGUCUAAUUCAUCUGAACGUUGACACACACAACAGUCUUGACCUGGCUUUUAAGGAUGAAUCAGAAACUUUGAAAGAUGCUGUAUUUUGGCUAAGAAAAGAGGGUGGAGCUUUGCACGCUAGAAUUACUUCUCCAUGUCAUUUCAACCAAACAGGAUAUUGUGUUACACCUUUCAAAUAUGGUCAUGGUUCAUAUGAAUGGCAAUCUGUAGUACAGCACAUUAAAGGAGCUUGGGGCCAUCCCCAAAGCACGUUGGAUAUUACACAUUUACAACAAAAAAUUAAUAAGCGAGACCAAAUUGUAUAUGAGCAGGAAGCUGUAGAAAUUGCUUCUAAAUGGAAAGAAACUUAAGCUUCUAUUAACCCUAAAAUUGGUUUGGGAGAAUUAAUUUUGCAAACAUUGGCAAUGCCACAUUCUUGGUGGUUAUAUUGCCUGGUUUCCUCAUACAGAAGAAGAGGUUUAAAUAAGGCCUAUAUCAGAAAUAUGCAGCCAGAAGUUGCCAUGUCACUUCAUCCUCAUCAUUCUUGUUGUUUAAAAAUGAUAUAGAGCAACAAACACAGAAUGUAAUGUUUAUGGGAAUAUUGGUACUUUUAAAAAUUCACAUGAAUUGUUGCAUUAAUGUUUUUGUAAAGCUUUUCACGAUGAAAACUUUUGUAUGCUCACCAUGUGAAUCUUGGUCAACUUAAAUUAGGGAAAUAGAAAUCAUUUUUGAAUGAAAAUUCUUGUAUUCCACAUUGGCUUAGCUAAAACGUUGCCACAUGAAAUGUGAGCCAUGAGUAGAAAAUUUUGUAUUAAUUUUAUUUUUGUUUUCCCUGAUUCUAUUUUCAGAUCAUUUCCCCCAUAUAUUUUCUUUUUAGUACUAGAAGUCCAUUGAAAGCAGUAUGAAUAGUUUGAUCCUGAAAUGUGAGUUAACAAUAUCUUUAAGCUUUCUUAUAGAUGCUUACCCAAUAGCUUGAGACUGUAGGAACCUGCAAGAAUGUGUGAAACCUCAUGGGACUGAUGUGAGUUAUUGUGUCUGAUUGCAGAAGAAGGGAUUGCAGUGGAUACAUUACACUUUGCCAGGAAGCCCAAGACAUAGAGAGUCCUAUAAUCCAUAUGAGACGGAUAAAUAUUGGUUGCUAAGGUUGGAGGUAAAAGGACGCGGUGUUUUGACACCCUCAAACACAGGUCGGCCUGGUACCAAAGUUCCAAUCAAAUAUCUAUGUGGCUGGGCUUCAAUAUCCCAAAGAGGAUGCAUGAUCCGACCAAGGGAAAGGAGGGACUACCCUCUCAUCUCAAACUAGAGUCCCUCUCUUUAGAUUUAAAGGUCUGGCAACUUCUUACAGUCCUGGCUGAACAUGGGUAAAAUGUUAUACUCAUGCACCCGUCCUACAGGACUAUGGCACUGAUCACAUUUAUUCAGGAUGCCUAGUGAGUUGUGGUCAUUCUUAUUUUUAUUAUUGGUCUUACAUAAUUUUUUAAAAUUUAAUUUUGCGAUUUGAUUUAGAAUUCUUUUUUUUUUGUUAUUUUUGCUAUACUCAUUAUUUUGUUGUCGUUUGGGUUUAGUUUAUCAUUUCUUUUUACCAUCAUACACUCUUCUCUUCAUUCUUAAACAAAAAGGGGGGGGAUAUGUGGCAUACCAGGUAUGUUAGCAUUGUGGAAGUAUUAUUGAUGUAUUGAUAUUGUAUCUUAUGUGUUCAUAUGCCACACUCAUGAUCAGGUUACUUAUUGAUUAUUGUAUUUCCUAAUCUUCAGUCCAAAGGUCAAAAGAGUUCCUGAGCGGGACAUUGUUAGACCACAUUCCUUGGCAAGGCACAAACUUGAUUAGCCUCCUCCUCUUUGAUUACGUGAUUGUCAAUUCAAACUAGGUUCAAACCUAUGCCACGUCGAAUGUUCAUUAGCUACCUCCCACUUGACAUUCCUAAAGUCUCCAAUAAAAGUUGGAGGGCACAACACCAUCCGAGGGGCAUGGCAAGGUGUAGCCCACAUUUUUGAA